UGUCCAGGGGCGGGAAUCGAACCCACAACCUUCCGCUUACCGGGCAGAUGCCAUGUCCACUAGGCUACGCUGGAC